AUGGGCAUGUCCGCCAACUACGGCCCGGCGAAGCCGGACGACGACAUGCUCGCGCUCCUCCGCCACGCCGUCGCCGCAGGCGUCACUCUCCUCGACACCUCCGACGCCUACGGCCCCUUCACCAACGAGCUCCUUCUAGGCAAGGCGCUGCAGGUGGGCCAGGAGUGCAGGUGGCCCGUGGCCACCAAGUUCGGGGUCAAGUUCACCGAGGCGCCGCCGGGGUGGGAGUUCUGCGGCUCGCCGGCGUACGUCCGGCAUGCGUGCGAGGCCAGCCUGCGGCGCCUUGGAGUCGACUGCAUCGAUCUCUACUACCAGCACCGCAUCGACACCCGUCUGCCCAUUGAGAUCACGAUGGGCGAGCUGAAGAAGCUGGUGGAGGAGGGGAAGAUAAAGUACGUAGGCUUGUCGGAGGCCUCCGCUUCCACCAUAAGAAGAGCCCACGCCGUCCAUCCCAUCACCGCCGUGCAGCUCGAGUGGUCGCUCUGGACCAGAGACUCUGAAGAGGAGAUCAUCCCUACCUGCAGGGAGCUUGGCAUCGGCAUAGUCUUGAAAAUAUAG
rnacentral:rRNA from 1 species